UACGUAGGGUGCAAGCGUUGUCCGGAAUUAUUGGGCGUAAAGAGCUCGUAGGCGGUCUGUCGCGUCGGCUGUGAAAACCCGAGGCUCAACCUCGGGCCUGCAGUCGAUACGGGCAAACUAGAGUACUGCAGGGGAGACUGGAAUUCCUGGUGUAGCGGUGAAAUGCGCAGAUAUCAGGAGGAACACCCGGGUGGCGAAGGCGGGGUCUCUGGGGCAGUAACUGACGCUGGAGGAGCGAAAGCGUGGGGAGCGAACAGG
rnacentral:rRNA from 1 species